GGGCUUAUAGCUCAGUGGUAGAGUAUACGAUUGCAGCUUGAUUAGAUACUCCUGAUCAGCUUAUCGUGUUGUCCCGUGUUCGAACCACGGUGGGCCCU